GGGAGUGCAAGAGCACGUCCAGCAGGUCCCCCCGGACAUUUACAGCCCUGAUUUUGCCAAUGGAAAGUUAAUCAUUGGUUUGAAACUGUGCAAAAACGUUAAGGGAAAAAAAAUCACAAGAUCACAGGAAGAACUCUAAUGUGUUUCCUAGUAUGUCCCUUUCAUUUGCCUCCACAGACUGCAGUGCUAAAUACCUUGGGGAGAAAUGUGUCUGAGCAUUUCAACACCUGACAAAUAUUAACUACCUCAGAGCAUGCUCAGACAAGCGGGUUUAGGGGAUGCUGAGGUCUGUGGAAAUAGUCACUUUCAAAUUCUGCACUUCAUUUCAGUAUUUUUCUGAAUGACCACCACAGGACAAAGUAAAGUUACAAAAGCGCUCACAAUAUUUAAAGAUCCUUCAGUGCUUAACAAAUAUUACUUCAUUAAGCUUUUUGAUACCUUUCCAAGGUAAUUAUGGCAUUGUUAUCUCUUCCUGCUUUUAGAAAUAGAGAAAUUAGGUAUUCUCAGAGAGUAAUGCAGAGUGAAACUCUGUAAAACUGGCUAAUGAUGUCCUGAUAGCUCUUUGCAGAUCCUCUCACUGCUACCCAGCACUCCUGACCUGUGUUGCAGAAAAACCCAUCUGUGUCCUCUAGCUAAGGAAGGUAAAGACCCUACUAGAUGAGCCCUUUCUUUGUAAAAAGGGGUUGUAGGGAAGAGGGAGGAAGUCUGUGUUCAAUAAUGCUGAACAAUAUUCUUUCUGAAAUCUACUUUUCCUGCUUAGAAGUGGUAUUGAUUUGACUGCCCAUGGGAAGCAAACAAUAACAUGAACAGCAACCCAUGUGUGAGGAAGUUGAACAGACUUGAACCACUUGAACAAGUUGAGGGGGAGAAAACUACGGAAAGAAGAAAGUGCACCCAAGACAGGGUAUUGCACACCUGGAUCUGCAGGUCGGCAGACAUCCUGGGCUCUGGGUGGGGCUGCUCCUGCCCACAGGAGUUUUGUAGUCAUGUCCCUACCCACAGCUCCCCUCGGUACACGUCCAGUGAGAUGUUUGUCAGGAAAAUAGCACAGCUGUGGUGGCCUUGACAGCUGUGCCUCCCUCAAGCAACCACUUUUCUCGUGUAUGGUGGAAGAAUGGCUUCGGCACGUUUGCAUUUUAGCUCGCUUGCUUUACUGAUUUAGUAUAAAUUACCAUGAUUUCUAGCAAACCUGGAUGCUUAUAAAAUUAAUGAGGCAAGAGAAGAGCACUAUAGGUAAAUGCCAGGGAGCAACCUGUACUUCUGUCUUUUAUGGUUGUAUUUUUCACUGUAUUCUGAAAGCUCCCAUUGAGGUACAAACUUCGCCAUGCUGUAAAAAUUUUAAGACCCUAAUAAAAAUAAGAUUGAAUACAAUAGCCAAGAACUAGACACUUAAACAACACUUAAAUACACUGAAACCAGGCACCAACUCACAAAAGGGUAAUUAUCCUCCCUGUACUGCUGUGCUCCUUUCUCUCUGGUGAGUCACACAAGGUGGCAUGAGAGCAAUCAUCUUACUCUCUGGCUGGAUUUCAUGGCAGCCCUCCUAGACAGAAGGGGGGUAUUGAUUGAUUGUUGCAAAGAAACUAUUAAUGCAAAGCUUGUCCCUGAGAAGGUUUUAUUUGCUGCUGAGCAUCAUCCACUGUCACUGCUCUAGUUGAUGGUGACUGUCCCAGGGCAUGGUGAAGUGGUGGGGGGUGGGCACACAGGCCACUGCUGUGUCCUGAGCCAGUGAAAGUGGAGCCAGCUGCAAUUCAGAAUCUGCAUUAACUUGGGUCCCAGCCCCAUGCAGUACCUGGUUUGCUGGCCAGCUGGUUUUCAGUACCACAGCCAGCUUCCUUAGGUGGUCAGAGGGUUUGUGCCUUAGUGCCCCACAACAGCUGCUCCUGGAGAACUUCAGUGUCUUCAUGUGACACCUCAUUCCUGUUGUUCAGGCACUGGUGAAGGCAGAUGUCUACAGUCCCACCUGCCUGUGCAGAGCACUGGUAAGUACCUGCUGGUUCAUUCCUUUGGGUAGCAGCCCCUCGUGCGAGGGAGCAGGCU
ensembl:lncRNA